GCAAACUUGGUCAUUUAGAGGAAGUAAAAGUCGUAACAAGGUCUCCGUAGGUGAACCUGCGGAGGGAUCAUCAAAGGAAAUUCUUUUUUUUUGACAAGGAUUUGUUCUCUAGUAGUAGAGUGUGGAUCCUUGUUAAAAAAACAAACAAAUAUACACAUGACUAGGAAAAAGAGGAGAUGUGACAAAAAAAAAAGUUCCUGACUGAUAAGUUUGUUCUGGUUUGGAAGAAGAGAAAUAAAACUUUCAACAACGGAUCUCUUGGCUCUCACAUCGAUGAAGAACGCAGC
rnacentral:misc_RNA from 1 species